rnacentral:rRNA from 1 species
UACGAAGGGGGCUAGCGUUGUUCGGAAUUACUGGGCGUAAAGCGCACGUAGGCGGACUAUUAAGUCAGGGGUGAAAUCCCGGGGCUCAACCCCGGAACUGCCUUUGAUACUGGUAGUCUAGAGUCCGGAAGAGGUGAGUGGAAUUCCGAGUGUAGAGGUGAAAUUCGUAGAUAUUCGGAGGAACACCAGUGGCGAAGGCGGCUCACUGGUCCGGUACUGACGCUGAGGUGCGAAAGCGUGGGGAGCAAACAGG